rnacentral:rRNA from 1 species
CGGGAAGCCAGGCGGUGACGCCGAGCGGAACCCGAAAGCCCCUCUCAGUUCGGAUCGGAGUCUGCAACCCGACUCCGUGAAGCUGGAUUCGCUAGUAAUCGCGCAUCAGCCAUGGCGCGGUGAAUACGUUCCCGGGCCUUGUACACACCGCCCGUCAAGCCAUGGGAGCCGGGAGCGCUUGAAGUGCGUCGCCGCGAGGCGCGCCCUAGAGCGAGACCGGUGACUGGGGCUAAGUCGUAACAAGGUACC